GGCGGACGGGUGAGUAAUGUCUGGGAAACUGCCUGAUGGAGGGGGAUAACUACUGGAAACGGUAGCUAAUACCGCAUAACGUCGCAAGACCAAAGAGGGGGGACCUUCGGGCCUCUUGCCAUCGGAUGUGCCCAGAUGGGAUUAGCUAGUAGGUGGGGUAACGGCUCACCUAGGCGACGAUCCCUAGCUGGUCUGAGAGGAUGACCAGCCACACUGGAACUGAGACACGGUCCAGACUCCUACGGGAGGCAGCAUG
rnacentral:rRNA from 1 species